rnacentral:rRNA from 1 species
AGAGUUUGAUCCUGGCUCAGGACGAACGCUGGCGGCACGCUUAACACAUGCAAGUCGAACGAGAGAAGAGGAGCUUGCUUUUCUGAUCUAGUGGCGGACGGGUGAGUAACACGUGAGCAAUCUGCCUUUCAGAGGGGGAUACCGAUUGGAAACGAUCGUUAAUACCGCAUAACAUAAUUGAACCGCAUGAUUUGAUUAUCAAAGAUUUAUCGCUGAAAGAUGAGCUCGCGUCUGAUUAGCUAGUUGGUAAGGUAACGGCUUACCAAGGCGACGAUCAGUAGCCGGACUGAGAGGUUGAUCGGCCACAUUGGGACUGAGACACAGCCCAGACUCCUACGGGAGGCAGCAGUGGGGAAUAUUGCACAAUGGAGGAAACUCUGAUGCAGCGAUGCCGCGUGAGGGAAGAAGGUUUUAGGAUUGUAAACCUCUGUCUUCAGGGACGAAAAAAGACGGUACCUGAGGAGGAAGCUCCGGCUAACUACGUGCCAGCAGCCGCGGUAAUACGUAGGGAGCGAGCGUUGUCCGGAAUUACUGGGUGUAAAGGGAGCGUAGGCGGGAUCGCAAGUCAGAUGUGAAAACUAUGGGCUUAACCCAUAAACUGCAUUUGAAACUGUGGUUCUUGAGUGAAGUAGAGGUAAGCGGAAUUCCUAGUGUAGCGGUGAAAUGCGUAGAUAUUAGGAGGAACAUCAGUGGCGAAGGCGGCUUACUGGGCUUUAACUGACGCUGAGGCUCGAAAGCGUGGGGAGCAAACAGGAUUAGAUACCCUGGUAGUCCACGCCGUAAACGAUGAUUACUAGGUGUGGGGGGACUGACCCCUUCCGUGCCGCAGCAAACGCAAUAAGUAAUCCACCUGGGGAGUACGACCGCAAGGUUGAAACUCAAAGGAAUUGACGGGGGCCCGCACAAGCAGUGGAGUAUGUGGAUUAAUUCGAAGCAACGCGAAGAACCUUACCAGGUCCUGACAUCGUAUGCAUAGCUCAGAGAUGAGUGAAAUCUCUUCGGAGACAUAUAGACAGGUGGUGCAUGGUUGUCGUCAGCUCGUGUCGUGAGAUGUUGGGUUAAGUCCCGCAACGAGCGCAACCCUUACUGUUAGUUGCUACGCAAGAGCACUCUAGCAGGACUGCCGUUGACAAAACGGAGGAAGGUGGGGAUGACGUCAAAUCAUCAUGCCCCUUAUGACCUGGGCCUCACACGUACUACAAUGGCUGUCAACAGAGGGAAGCAAAGCCGCGAGGUGGAGCGAACCCCUAAAAGCAGUCUUAGUUCGGAUUGUAGGCUGCAACCCGCCUACAUGAAGUCGGAAUUGCUAGUAAUCGCAGAUCAGCAUGCUGCGGUGAAUACGUUCCCGGGCCUUGUACACACCGCCCGUCACGCCAUGGGAGUCGGUAACACCCGAAGCCUGUAGUCUAACCGCAAGGAGGACGCAGUCGAAGGUGGGAUUGAUGACUGGGGUGAAGUCGUAACAAGGUA